UACAGACUCCGCAAACCAAGAGGCCGUGGAGGCAAAUGCAGGCAGCCAGCACACCUCAAACAGCCACCUUGACUGCGGGUGUGUCACCCUAGUCGCCAAGGAAACAUUUGAGGGAAAGUGACAGGCAAUGUGAACAGCCACUUCUCCAUGUAAACAAUACUCUUUCUCUCGGAUGACUCCUACGCCUCACCACGCCAGCACACUUGUGCACAAAGAUGCCGCAGAGGCACGUGCAGGUCAGAGGCAAGAGGCAGUGGCACUGGUGUCGACAUUUACCCAAUUUCUUUCUCUCACACUGAGGCAGCCAGCACACCUCGAACAGCCACCUCGACUGCGGGUGUGUUAGUUGAUCCCUGUUGUACAUAUGCUCAUAAUAAACUUCAGUAAACUUGAACUUCAUAAUAAACUUGAAGGCAAAUGGUA